UUUUGUAAUAGAGAUAUAUGAUGUCCGUUGUGAGUAGUUGGCAUCAACGAAGUAUUUGUUCCCGAUUGUCUCUCAUCAUAAAAUAAAGGAUAGCUACCGCGGGCCUCCGGUCAGCCUCGAGUCUAGAGCAAUACUCCGUUACCUUAAAUAAUUAAUGUUUUUUUUUAUACAUUGUGGUGUCAUUACAAAUCCGAUAAAGAUAGGGUGGACAAAUUGAAGGAAAACGGCGUCUCGAAGAAAGGGAUCUUCAAGGAUGUCCUCCGAGGCAGACGAGUUGGAGAAUAUGGUAUUAAGUUUUCGAGUGUCUGAGCUUCAGAUGCUUUUAGGUUUCGCUGGUAGAAACAAAUCGGGACGUAAAAACGAAUUACAAUUGCGUGCUUUGGAAUUAUUGAGACUGAGAUCGCAUCCAGUGCAGUUGAAAAUUCGGGAACUCUAUAAAACAAUUCAAGCGGAUCAGUUAGCUGCCCAUCAAAUGUACAGUCAACAAGGUGGUGAUUCACAAUUAGACGAAAACAUGCAUCAAAGGAAUGAUGAUGCGAGGGUUCUGCGUAGAGUCGCGCAGCAGCAUGGAGCAUCUGGAGUGGCACCUGGGAAGGAUUUGCCACCUGCUCACCAGGCGUCGAUGCCGCAGUCUCAAGUCGCCAGAGCCCCCCAAGUUUAUCAGCCAUCGAGUUAUCAAGGAGUUUCUGCUCAGAGGUCCACCAACAGUGUUUAUACUCCCUAUGCCUAUCCCACGAAAGUCCUACCACCACCGAUGCAACUCCAGCAGCCGAGUCAGUAUCCGGUGCACCCAGACGUUAGACUGAAAAGGUUACCCUUCUACGAUUUACUUGGAGAGUUACUCAAACCCUCGAGUCUGAUGCCCCAGGGCUCUAUGAGACUGCAGGAAAACAGUUUCCAGUUUCACCUAACUCCACAACAAGCAUCUGACAUUGCCACUUACCGGGAUUGCCGACCAGGGUCCAAAAUGGAAUAUAUCAUUCAAGUUCAAAUGAGAUUCUGCCUUCAGGAGACGUCUUGUGAGCAAGAGGAUUAUUUUCCACCCAGUGUUCAGGUGAAAGUCAAUGGAAAGCAAUGUCCACUGCCAAACCCCAUUCCCACAAACAAACCAGGAGUCGAACCAAAACGACCCCCACGACCAGUUAACAUAAGCCCCCUAGUGAAGCUAUCCCCAACAGUAGCCAACAGUAUCCAAGUGACUUGGUCAGCUGAUUAUGGUAGACGUUAUGCAGUUGCUAUCUACAUGGUUAAAAAAUUAACGAGUUCCGAAUUACUCAGUAGACUUAAAAACCGAGGUCCCCGACAUUCCGAUUACACACGUGGUCUCAUCAAAGAGAAACUCAAUGAGGAUGCAGACAGUGAAAUAGCCACAACGUCUCUGCGUGUAUCACUGGCAUGUCCACUCGGUAAAAUGAGAAUGAGCACACCGUGUCGUGCCAGCACAUGUUUGCAUCUUCAGUGCUUCGAUGCGUCGUUAUAUCUCCAAAUGAACGAGAGAAAACCGACCUGGAACUGUCCUGUCUGUGAUAAAACAGCGCUUUAUGACAAUCUCGUCAUUGAUGGGUAUUUCCAAGAAGUCCUGCUAUCUAAGAAAUUGUUGAGUGAUGUCAAUGAGAUACAGCUCCUGCAGGAUGGGUCUUGGGAGAAUUUAGUACCCAAGAAGGAGAAGGAUAAGGACAAGGAGAAAGGAGAGGCGAAGGCGGAGUCAAAUUCACGGGCUAAAGUCGAUGUUGAUACGGUUGAUUUAGAUGAAAGCACGUCAGCAGUGUCGACAAAACCGGAGGAGAAGAAAAAUGCUCCAGUAAUCGACCUCAUAUCCGACUCAGACGAUGACGAGGAGGGUCCGGCAGCAAAACAGAUAAAGACAUCCAAUAAUAAAAAUCCCUCGACUCAAGGGCCUCCUCGCCGAAAUCACGACAAUGCCAAAAGAGACAGUGAGUCUCCCGAUCUGUUGGUCAUAAAUCUCGAGUAAAAACCCGACUUCAUUUUACCGUUUUAGUUAUUUCAAGUGCUUAAUGUAAACGUAAUUCCGAUGUGAGUGCAUACCAAAGUGGAUUCGUGGAGCACAGGAUGUGGUUUGUCAGAAACUAGGAAGAUUGAAUGUGAGCCAGGGAGAACGGCAUAUUGCACAGUGGAGUACGGUCCCGGUUGAUCGACAUCGAUGGCUCUGACACCCUGGAGCACCCUGGUCCCCACCACAGUGACCUGGAUUCAUGGAAAAGGAGAUAAAAACAACUGUUUGAAAUAGCGUAAUUUUUCCAUGUCAGAUGGCCAAGAUUCAUCCACUAAUGGCACAUCUCCAACGAAACAUAGGAAAUAUCCGCUGUUUUAUUGUAACGGCGAGUGAGUACAGCGUUACGCGUAGCUGGUAACGCGCUAGCUCACCCACUCGUCUCGUUCACUAACACAUAACGAAAUUUCAAGUUGACUCGUCAUUCGCUACAUCCCCUACUCCAAACGUUAAACUCAAGUUACGGUUUGCUGAAUUUCAUGCAUUAAUGGCUUUCAACAACGAAACUCUAAAUGCUGAACUGCUAAGUAUAAUACUUGAAAUGAAGAAAAAAAUCUGGGAAAAAUCCAAUUCAAUUAAUUUUAUUUUAAGUGAAUGGGGAAAUACCCAUUAAAAAGGUCGUGAAAUUAGUGAAAGAGAGAUUAUUUAAUUAAAGAGGGACUGGAGGUAAAAAUGACGGAAAAAUAAAACGGGGGAAAGGACUAGGAGCAGAAUUAAUAAAUAUAAUUAUUGAAGUGAAGAAAAAAUAUCGGAGAUAAUUAAUGAUUCAUUGAUAAUAUUGAAAAUGUUCAGGCUAUUGUUUGGAUUAUUGUUUACCUCGGAAAUGUUGAGAAUGUAGGGUGCAUUGACGAACUGGGGCGCGUUAUCGUUGGCGUCGGUUACUCGUAUAUUUACAGGUAUCAUAAAGCCCUGAAAUACGCAAUAACUGUAGUAUCAGCACAUAAUUUCAUUAAUUGGGGAUUGAAAAACAGUGACAGGGAUUUUUCGGUAACAAGUGGAUGCACCAAAAAAAAAUGUCGAUGCAGAUCGCUAGGUUUUAGAAAGUUGGGGGAAGACCCCUUCUCGUAGAAAGUGGCCGGCAUUGUGACUUAUGAAUUAAUUCUACUGUUAACAAACUGAAAUUAUGAGGGCAAUUUGCGAGAGAGAUAAUGAAUUAUUACGAAAAUAUUGCGGAAGUAGUUUUCAAAUAAAAAAGUGCAAAAAAUUAGCAGAAAAGUACGCGACUUUCGUACGAUUUUUUGGAGGCUUUUUAAAAAAAUAAAAGUAUGUUAUAAAAUUGUUGCUUCCCUUUCUCUUCUCACCAGAAUAAUCACGCGAAGAGCAAUCUCAGUAAAAUAAAUUGUAGGAAAUAUUUUCUAUUAAAUUUUUUGAUACGUGAAAUAAACUCGUGACACGACUUUCCAGACUUAUGAACUUACGGGAUCUAGCGUGUGUCGUCUCUCGCAUAUAAUGUUAAUGUAUACACUGGCGGGACCAUCGAUGCCCUCCUUGUCAAGUGGUCUAAUAAGCGUUAAAUUUCUUGAAUGAGGUAAUAUAGUAACUGGACUAUCGUGCUCCUGAAGAUGUAAUUCUAUAUCUCCAUCGAUACUUGGAUCCCCGAGGACCCCUAAAACACCUAUCGUAUCCCCAACUUUUUUGUCCUCGCUGACGAAGAGAUGCGAGGAUGUUGCACCGUUUUCCAGAAAGCAUCUUGUGUCUCUAAUCACUUCAACCAAAAUCACGAUUAAAAUAGCCCCCCACAACCAUGUUCCCUGGAGCGACAUUGGUAAAAAAUUGCUACUUACAUUGCGCUGAAUUCAAAUUAAUCAACGAAAUAAUCAACAAUAACUUCAGCAUUAUAGCAGUGGAUAGGAUUCACGUGUCCAGACACUCAUUUCCUGCCACAUCUGAAGGAUUCUCUGUUCUCUUCAUCCACAACAAAUUAAAGAUUACAACUCCUCGUAAUACACUGUUACAACGGGCACAAACCCUUGAACUUACUGAAUACCCUUCACAUGGUAAUCAUCGAGCACUUUUCAGCGAGAGAAAAAAAAAAGGGAAAAGAACCGGUUUAGCACAAUGUUCUUUCUUCAAAAAGACGAUUUCCGGUGCCAAUAUAAUACGGAGUAUUUCACACAAAACCAUAACAAUUGAUAAACUCUGGUACAAACGCAACUCCACUAACGAUUGCACAAGUGGUACCUUCACAGCACGAACUACCUUUGAUAUUAAUUAAUAUUUAAUUGAGGAUCAUCACAUGAAAUUUUGAAAGACUGAAUUAAUCGAGGCACCUGAAGACCCGGCAAUGUCCAGCCUGAGAGUGUCCCGUGUGCAGCUGUGAAAGGGUCUCCACCGUAUAACAAACAUAAGCAUGGUUCAGGAAAUGACCGGUAAAAAGAGGGGAUAGAUUCUCCCCCAUUUUCCACCGUGAACAGGUGCCACAGUGCACACCACUGAAAAAAAAACCCAUGGCCCAACGUAUGGUAAUUACCACGCGCUCCACUGCUCCACAAUGUGAAAAUUCAAUGACUAAAUAGGGAUAUUUUAUACAACAAAUGAAGAGAAAUGAGAGAUUAAAAAAACGUCUGUUAUUCUUUUAUUAUUACUUUAAUUGUUUCGUUAUAUUUUUCAUACUCCCUACUUUCUCGAUAAAGUACACACUUAAUAUAAAAGAAAGUAUGAGAAUUAUUAUGCAUGCGAGUCUUUCAUCUUUCCUCCUAAAUGGUGUCUACUACAAUAUGUAUUCAUUUUUUUUUGUUCGUUUAGUUUUAAUUAUGACAAAUGUGUAUAAAACGCAUGUAGAACACAUUUCCCUCAUUUUUUCCAUUUGCUCAUCUUGCGUUAGACAUAUAAAGAGUUGUAGUAGGUGUUAUUUAUUUAUCAAUGAUUUAAUAUUGCUGCGAAUUAUUAUAUAUACAUAGAUUUAUAUAUACAUGUACGUGUAUAUUUAUGAGUCAUGCAACUGCCUUGUUUUUUUUUUGUAAUUCAAUGACAAAAAUUCCCCCUCCAUCGCUGUCUCCACGCGUGCACGAAUCAUUUUUAUUUCCCCCUAUUAUUGGUGUUUUCCCUCUCGUGGAUCGGAGCGGGGACGAACGACAGGGCAUUGUGGAGGAGAACCUCGCGAUGGAAGGGUGAAGUCGCAAAUAAUUUUUUUUUUAGUCCAUUAGUGAGAAAUACUUGAAUAAAAAUUAUGCAAUUUGUAUAGUUUCGAAGAGCUGCAUAUCAAAUUUUAGUUCCAGUUAUAAAGAUGAUUUUUCCUACGUUAUUUCAUCGUUAACGUAAAAUAAUGAAUUACUUUUUUUUGUUAAAAUUUAACUCUAGAUGGAUUAUUAUUAGUACCUAUUACUUAGGAACUGUUGACGUGAAGUUUUGCGGAAGAUGAUUUUUCUCUUUUCAUUGUUGUAUCACUAGAUCCUACCCACAUAAUAGUUCGUGUAAAUAAAAUAAUGAAUAAAAAUUAUUAUAGAAAAUGAACCACAGUGUUAGAUUCCUUUCAUCGUCUUCAGCUCCUUUAAUGCUCACUUGUGUAAAUUAGUUACGCCGUUUUGUUUCAUUUAUGAUUAUUAAUUUCACUUUCCUUAGCUUAUCGAUGCAAGGUGAAGAAGACUCUUCAUGGGCAUGAUUCUGUUAUUUUUUUUUUUUUUUCGUUUUUAUACUUUAAAUUACAGGGAGUCUUGUAUAUGUAGUACCACUGAGCGUUUUUGUUUUUCUUAACUUUAUUCUUGAAAAAUUGAUUAACCCUGAAAACACAUUCCAACGUAAUUAAAUUAACUAUAAAGAAA